rnacentral:rRNA from 1 species
UACGUAGGGUGCGAGCGUUGUCCGGAAUUAUUGGGCGUAAAGAGCUUGUAGGCGGUUUGUCGCGUCUGCUGUGAAAAUCCGGGGCUCAACCCCGGACUUGCAGUGGGUACGGGCAGACUAGAGUGUGGUAGGGGAGACUGGAAUUCCUGGUGUAGCGGUGAAAUGCGCAGAUAUCAGGAGGAACACCGAUGGCGAAGGCAGGUCUCUGGGCCACUACUGACGUGAGAAGCGAAAGCAUGGGGGAGCGAACAGG